rnacentral:rRNA from 1 species
AUUGAACGCUGGCGGCAUGCUUUACACAUGCAAGUCGAACGGCAGCGCGGGCUUCGGCCUGGCGGCGAGUGGCGAACGGGUGAGUAAUACAUCGGAACGUGCCCAGCAGUGGGGGAUAGCUCGGCGAAAGCCGGAUUAAUACCGCAUCCGACCUGAGGGUGAAAGCGGGGGAUCUUCGGACCUCGCGCUAUUGGAGCGGCCGAUGGCAGAUUAGCUAGUUGGUGGGGUAAAGGCCUACCAAGGCGACGAUCUGUAGCUGGUCUGAGAGGACGACCAGCCACACUGGGACUGAGACACGGCCCAGACUCCUACGGGAGGCAGCAGUGGGGAAUUUUGGACAAUGGGCGAAAGCCUGAUCCAGCAAUGCCGCGUGUGUGAUGAAGGCCUUCGGGUUGUAAAGCACUUUUGGCGGGAACGAAAAGGACUGUGCCAAUACCACGGUUCGAUGACGGUACCCGCAGAAUAAGCACCGGCUAACUACGUG